CUUAAUUUUUCUCCACGUGAUUCUGGGGUGUUUGAUUCCGCGUAAAAUAAACAGAAAAAUACUCUUUUAUUUUUUUUGGUUUGACGUAAAAGUAUUUUUACAGAUUUGAAAAAAAAUUGAAGUGUUCAUUUUUUGCUGUUUUUGGGCAAAAAGCUAAAACUUGAGCUGCGUAAAAAUUUUUUCAAUCGUUUCUUUUCACCGAACCAAACAAAUAUGAAUAUUUUUCUUUCAACCAAAAAAUGUUGAUGGCAAACCACUUUUUUUUUUCUAUAGACCAAACACUACAAAAUAUAAAACUUUUUUUUCCAUCAAAAAAACUUUUUUCUACGGAAAAUUAAUUUUCACUAUUUUAUGUUGAACCAAACGGAUCCUUAGCAUAAUUUUAUUUUAUCACAAUAUAUUUUAAAAAAUUAUAUUUUAUUAUUUUAUAAUUUUACUUAUUCAUUUU
rnacentral:lncRNA from 1 species